UUGGCUAGGUAAAACCUCGCGCAUGUUUUUUUCGUCACAUCAUUUUCAAAAGUGUCUAGCAGUGUUUUUAUGCGCAUUUGUUAACGUUUCUUCAGUUUCUGGUUUUAUUUUCAGGUUCGUCUGACAAAAAAAUAAUCAAGUAGCCGUUCGGUUUGAUGUAAAAUUAAAUAAAUGGCUUAGUUUAGUUUAGCUUGGCUAACUUAGCACUAGUUGAUGUAGCGCUUUGCAUGCGCCAACGUUUAACUUCAUCGGGUGUUCGUGAUUGAGUUUGCAUUAUCUUUACCAUGCGAAACAAACUCAAACGUAACACAAACCAAGCACAAAUCAUCAACGUGAGGCCGUUAGCGUUAGCAGUGUCGAGUCACUCUGGUGUAGACUCUCAACCAAAACGCAAAUGUGGCUCCGCUGCUACUGAAAGAAAAGCUCAACCGCUGCAGGAGCAGCACACGUCUCGCUGCGUACAGUACGUUAAACUCGCACCCAUUUUCCUCCACACAUCUCGACAGAGAACGAGUAAAUGCAGCGGCGAUAUUGAGCUUUAUCCAUCCGAAGAGAAGCUGCACAAACCAGCGCCUCGCCAUUCUCAGGUUGGCGACUUGCGAAGGGUGAAGAGUCGGCAUCAGUUUCCAUUUGACCUGUCAGAUAAAGAGGAGAUAAUUCAGUCUACAGGGACACCGUUGUCACCUUCAUCUCUGCAAAGCUGUCUGGAAGAAAUUCAGACAACCAAUCCAACAUUUCCAGUCCAAACUGUGUUCAGCACUCUGCGGAAGAAAACUAGGGAAAGACUGCAACAUGCUGGAUCCACAGAAAACUCCCUGUAUCCAAGCUCCUCACGGAACAACUUGAAAGAGAAGAGGAAAAGAGGAGAGGAAAUCCCUGAGAGCGAGUCAAAGCGUCUGAGAUGUAGACUCAGGGCAGAAGGUGGCACUGGUAUGGAACAAUGUCACCUGUUAUCACAUGGCAUCCAGGAAUGUGAUGCCCUCCCUGUGAAGAAGCCACACUGGAGCAGUAAGCUGAGUCAUACUCACAGACAAAAACAGAAGACAGGGAGUCUGGCAGGCCCGGUAAACAACUAUGAUUGCACAAAUGACACAGAAUGUGAAUUACAGUCAUCUAUGAUCCAGGACAGUUUCCACAGAGAAGCUAGUUUUGAAGAUGUUCUCUGGACAGACAAGUACAGUCCUCAGUGUUCGAAUGAAGUCAUUGGCAACCAUGCCUCUGUUAAUAAAUUGCACAGUUGGUUGAAGAAAUGGAAACGGAGAGCUGACUGUGAGGAGAGGACUAAAAUGGAGGAAAGGAAAGAUGAAGAAAACCGCAUGGACUCAUGGGACUGUGGAGAUUUUCGAGGUGAGACUGGGACAGAGGACGACAGAGACGAACCACUCUGUAACACCAUGCUAAUAACAGGGCCUCCAGGUGUGGGGAAGACUGCGUCUGUGUACGCCUGCGCUCAGGAGCUUCACUUCAAGGUGUUUGAGGUGAACUGCUCCUCACAACGAAAUGGUCGCCAUGUUCUGGCUCAGCUGAAAGAGGCCACGCAGUCCCACUUAGUGGAGACAUCAGGCAAGGACCUACUGAAACCAACUUACCUCAACAACUACAGCACCAGCAGCUGCACAACUAAAUCUGAGACGUUACCCGGAAAACCAGUGGCUCCUAAAUACGUCAGCUCAAAAAAGAGGGCAGCACAGAGUUUUGGCCGCUCCAGUCGUAAAGGAAAAGCUAAACCAGCCACAGUCACUUUGGCCAACUACUUUAAGAUGAAGGCCAAAGCAGAUCAGUUACAUUCUGGUGGCCUGUUGCCAUUUAAGAAACCAGAUGGAAAGGAUUUGGGCAGCUCAUCAGCAGACUGUGAUCAACCAAUGUCAUCAAGCAAGAAGACAGCCACAUCACUCAUUCUGUUUGAAGAGGUUGAUGUCAUAUUUGACGACGAUGUCGGUUUCCUCACAGCCAUCAAGACCUUCAUGGCAACGACAAAAAGACCCGUCAUUCUCACCACCAACGAUCCCUUGUUCAGAGAGAGAUUUAGCUGCAGCGUGGAGGAAAUCAUUUUCACAACACCCCCAGCAGUGAACAUCUGCACGUACCUGCAGCUGCUGUGUCUGGCUGAAAAUGUGCAGCUGGAGUUGGAUGAUGUAAGAAGCCUCCUCAGACAAACCUGUGGAGACGUCAGGCGCUGCCUGCUGCAGCUGCAGCUCUGGGUGCACAGUGGAGGAGGACGAGCAUCUCAGAGCGGACGCUUGUCUCAAGAGCACAUUCAACUACAGUAUUCAGAUCUUCCUCGGAGUGACACGAGCUGCACUGCCAGCAUGCUAGGUCUCCAAACUGUGACUCAAAAGCAACUGCUCAGCCUUCUAAAGUGUCAGCACUGGUCUGAAACAAACAUGAAGAAGCUGCUAGGACUGUUGGCUAAGAGCUGGAGAGGAGGUGAACCUCUUCUCUAUAACAACAUGGAACUCCUCAUGCCCAAGGCUACCUCAGUCCAGGACCUGGACACUGGGACUUGUCGUGGCCCACAAAAUGGGGUGACGCCUUCAGACACUGAUCGUUGCUUCCUGCAGCGCCAUGGCGGUGUCAGUCUAAACGCACCAGCAGCAUCUGUGAAGAAUAUCAACAGACUCAGUAGAAGGAAACGUAUCACAAAAGUGUGUGACUCCUCAUCAUUUUCUACUUUGACACACAGCUGCCAAAGAACCUCAUUAUUACUUAACUGGACUCAUUCAGGAAUCCACAGAUUAAGAGAUAAGACCGAACAAAUAUCAGUUAGAGUGGAAACUGACUGCUUAGUAGCCGCAUCCGACUUCUUUGACCUCAUGUCGUACCUGGACGUAGCACUGACUGCUGCAGCACCGCUUGCUUCAGGCUCACCGGAGGCAUUUGUCUGGACAGGAGCCAAGAUGAGGGACGGAUUGUUAGAUGAGAUGAAUGAGGAGGAGGAGGAGAAGGACAGCACCUGGAGCCAGGAAAGACUGUUGGAUAUGAAGACUGCCGCUGAGGGCUUGGGGUUUCACAGAUGCUGGUGGCGAACGUCACAGGCGUGGAGCGAAGCCCAGAAACACAGACAAGACGUGGAGGACGAAAAAUGGGAGAAGCUGGUGGAGAGACUGGCGUUCCCUCCCUCUUCUGAAAGACAGAGCCUCAGAUUUAUGUUUCAACCUCCAUGUGAACCAAGAUGAGGACAAUCAGGAAGUAACAAUUUACUGAAUAGCCACCAGGGGGUGACUCUGCUGGUUGCAAAAAAACAACUCCUUUUGCAUAUGAUAUGAUGUGAAUAUCAUGGGAGAAGCAUCUUACUUGAUCAGUAAAGAUGUUCCUGAGGACUUAAUGGUGUCAAUGGCCAGUCUUAGGUCUUCUUCAGUGGCAGAUGAUUCCCAUAUAGAUGACAACUGAUGAUAAAGCACACCACAAAGAAGUGGACACCAACGUGAAUGACAUCUGGUAUCGUCCAAUCGGUGCCUGGUUGCAGGUGGAACAUCUAGUUGCAAAAGCUUAACGUGGCACUGAUCAAAUCUCAACUCUCAUGGCUUCAAAAUGGGUCGCGUCCCAGAGGAGAUACGAGCUGAGUAGGAAGGUGCUCGGCAGUAGAUCCUUCAGCCUGCUGGGGAACAGACGAGCCGUCUGUGUCGACUACA